rnacentral:rRNA from 1 species
AAGCUUUGGUUGGGGCAACGCGGAGUAAGAAGACCCUCCGCUAAUAAGAUAUUACUAUAAAAAGAAUUACGGUUCUACAAUCAAAAUGAAAGAAUGAUCCACUAAGGUGAUCAAAGAAACAAGUUACCGCAGGAUAACAGCGUUAUCUUUUCUGAGAGUUCACAUUGACGAAAAGGUUUGCGACCUCGAUGUUGGAUCGGGACAUCCUAAGGGUGCAGAAGCUU